UACGGAUAGUGCGAACGUUGUUCGGAUUCACUGGGCGUAAAGGGCACGUAGGCGGCUUGGCAAAUCGGUCGUGGAAUCCCGACGCUUACCGUCGGAACGGCGGCCGAAAAUACCGAGCUCGAGGGCGUGAGGGGUCACUGGAACUCCUGGUGAAGCGGUGAAAUGCGUAGAUAUCAGGAGGAACGCCGGAGGCGAAAGCGAGUGACUGGCGCGUUCCUGACGCUGAGGUGCGAAAGCUAGGGGAGCAAACAGG
rnacentral:rRNA from 1 species